rnacentral:rRNA from 1 species
GUGGGGAGCAAACAGGAUUAGAUACCCUGGUAGUCCACGCCGUAAACGAUGAGUACUAGCCCUUGGAGGUAUUGACCCCUUCAGGAGCGCAGCUAACGCAUUAAGUACUCCGCCUGGGAAGUACGGCCGCAAGGCUAAAACUCAAAGGAAUUGACGGGGGCCCGCACAAGCGGUGGAUUAUGUGGUUUAAUUCGAAGCAACGCGCAGAACCUUACCUAGGCUUGAAAUCCUGCGAAUCUGGGGUAAUGCCCGGAGUGCCCGCAAGGGAAUGCAGUGACAGGUGCUGCAUGGCUGUCGUCAGCUCGUGUUGUGAAAUGUUGGGUUAAGUCUCGCAACGAGCGCAACCCCUAUCUUUAGUUGCCAGCAUUAAGUUGGGCACUCUAGAGAGACUGCCCGGGUUAACCGGGAGGAAGGUGGGGAUGACGUCAAGUCCUCAUGGCCCUUAUGCCUAGGGCUACACACGUAAUACAAUGGCGCAAACAAAGGGAAGCGAUCGCGCGAGCGUUAGCAAAUCUCAAAAAUUGCGUCUCAGUCCGGAUUGGAGUCUGCAACUCGACUCCAUAAAGUUGGAAUCGCUAGUAAUCGCGGAUCAGCACGCCGCGGUGAAUACGUUCCCGGGCCUUGCACUCACCGCCCGUC